rnacentral:lncRNA from 1 species
AGGAAACAACCGGAUUCCCGAUCCCGACCGAGGCCUUCUUCCUGACUCGGCUCCACUCUCGCCGGGAGGAUGAAAGGCCUCAGCUGGGGGCUCCCUGCCAUCAGCACUGGGUCGUAAGAGCUGCCAUCCAGGCUGGGUAAGUGUCCUCUUCCUUUCUGCCCCAUUACAGCCCUUGGCUUUUCCCAUCUUCCUAUUCAGCCCCUGUCUCCUCCCUAUCUUGUGCCUCUGCCAACAUCUUCACAUCAUGCUCCUGGGGAGGUCUUUAGCCUCUUCCUGUAGCCAGAAAGGUAUGUGUGUGUGCGCGUGUGUGCGCGCGCAGAGGUGUCAUACAGCUGGUGGUGUCGUAUGAAAGGAAUCUGAAGUAGUCUAAAAAUAAGAUUUCCUGUUGCACACUUAAUUUGACAUGUUAUACGUGGC